UACGUAGGGGGGCAAGCGUUGUCCGGAUUUAUUGGGCGUAAAGAGCGUGUAGGCGGCCAGACAGGUCCGUUGUGAAAACUCGAGGCUCAACCUCGAGACGUCGACGGAAACCGUCUGGCUAGAGUCCGGAAGAGGAGUGUGGAAUUCCUGGUGUAGCGGUGAAAUGCGCAGAUAUCAGGAAGAACACCUAUGGCGAAGGCAGCACUCUGGGACGGUACUGACGCUGAGACGCGAAAGCGUGGGGAGCGAACAGG
rnacentral:rRNA from 1 species